ACCAGGUGUCUGUGGUGUGCAUGGCUGGAGUUUUCCUAGUCUUGGCUGGGAGCUUAACUGCUGUGCUUCUGCUCUCCAACUCAUCACCAUGAAGCUCUUCGUACUCUCUGUGUCAAUUUGUGUCUCUGCUGUACUGGCCUCUUUUGCCUCUGCACAGAGAUCAGUUGAUAAAAGCAGCAAUGUGGCUAAUAAAGUACCCACUAGGACUGCCAAAGGGACAGAAUCCACUGAGGAACUCAACAAUUCUGAUGAAGACUGUGGGCUGUGAUAGUGCCAGUGUAUUUUCAUGUGCACGUGCUUUGCUUUUUGAUAUUUACACUGACAUAUCUUUAGAUGAUAUCCUCAUGAUUUUGGAUUGGUGAAAUUGGAUGUUUUUGUGUCAUCUACAAUAGAAAUUUCUGGAACAGAAUGAAUCAUCAUCAAUUUUAUUUCCCUUAACUACCUAUCCUGAUGACUGUGCCUUUCAUCUUGAACGUUUAUCUUCUUUGCAGUAAAUAUUAGCCAUUAGCAGCAUCAAAAAUACUCUUAUACUUUUGUGUAUUGGUAAUAAUUUACUCUUAUUUAGACAUUCCAUUCUAACCCUGUAGUACUUCCUUGAGUCAUUUUAAUGAUUAAUUUUUUCUAUUGGCUUUCCUGAAAUAUCU